AUGAACACUGAUGUUAACCCAGCGCCCAGCCAUGACCUACCAAGUCCUAAGCCUACCUCUCCUGCCAAAUCAACUAACACGAGCCUGGCUGAUGACAAUGUUGAUGAUAUUGCUAUUACCAUGUCAGCUUUUAAGGCGCCCGAAGUCUCCAGAAUGCUAGCCAAACACUCAGCUAAAGAAGAAACCCCUUCAUUGGAGAAGGUCAAGGCUAAACUAGAUUUGCAGAGCUAUGCGGACUUUAGCACGGGCGAGCUGCACGCGGGUUAUCUGAACUGCCUUCACACAAGCUGCGACUUAGAAGCCGGCUUAGUGAACUUGAUGAAGCAGAAAUAUGAGGUAUGA
rnacentral:rRNA from 1 species